rnacentral:tRNA from 1 species
GCCUAAGUAACUUAAAGUUAAAGUGUCGGUCUUGUAAACCGAAUAUGACGGCUAAACUCCAUCCUUAGGCU